rnacentral:lncRNA from 1 species
GGGGGGCUCUUUCCUAGGCCAGCCUCGCCUCCGCUCCCGCAAGCACGCGCGAACGACAGCCCCGGGGUUCCCGCUCUGAGCCCCUCGGCCCCGCCCCCCGGUCUGGCUCGCGCUAAGGGAGGGAGAGGGGGAGGGAGGAGGAGCGAGGAUGCUGAGGCCAGGCAAGGCGAGAGCUGGGUGGGGAGAUAGGGGAGGGGAGGGAGAAGGAAAGGAAGCGGAGGGCGGGGGAGAGGGAAAGGGGGCUCUCGCGCGAUUGGGCGAGGUUUCCGGUGUUGUGACUGAAGCCCGUCAACAUGGCGGCGAGUGUCCGCGGCCGCUCGCUGAAGCACCUCAGGAUACGAGGGCGGAAUGACAGCGGCGAGGAGAACGUCCCGCUGGAUCUCACCCGAGGGGAUCGAUAUAUUUUUCUGCGGUGAGCCUCGGAACCGGCUGGUUACUGCGAGGUGUCUGGUACAGCUGGAUCCCCCUCCCACACACACCCCCCUCCUCUCCUUUUCCCGGGCCGCUGAGAGUGUAGUUGGCAGAGACCGCCCCCUCACCCUGCUGCAGGUUCAUUGUUUACCGUCGGCUGCAGCUAGAAAGGUUUGUUUACACCGUCUGAACUGGGGAAAAAAAAAAAAAAAAAAAAAAAAAAACCUCAGCUAUAUUUUUGAAAGACAUUGCCCGACAUUCCUUCCACCGGUGGCUGUGUUGGAAUGCGUUCACCAUUCUGCUUUAAGAUUUAGCGAUUGGUAG